rnacentral:rRNA from 1 species
AUGAACGCUGGCGGCGUGCCUAAUACAUGCAAGUCGAGCGAACAGACGAGGAGCUUGCUCCUCUGACGUUAGCGGCGGACGGGUGAGUAACACGUGGAUAACCUACCUAUAAGACUGGGAUAACUUCGGGAAACCGGAGCUAAUACCGGAUAAUAUAUUGAACCGCAUGGUUCAAUAGUGAAAGACGGUUUUGCUGUCACUUAUAGAUGGAUCCGCGCCGCAUUAGCUAGUUGGUAAGGUAACGGCUUACCAAGGCGACGAUGCGUAGCCGACCUGAGAGGGUGAUCGGCCACGCUGGAACUGAGACACGGUCCAGACUCCUACGGGAGGCAGCAGUAGGGAAUCUUCCGCAAUGAGCGAAAGCUUGACGGAGCAACGCCGCGUGAGUGAUGAAGGUCUUCGGAUCGUAAAACUCUGUUAUUAGGGAAGAACAAAUGUGUAAGUAACUAUGCACGUCUUGACGGUACCUAAUCAGAAAGCCACGGCUAACUACGUG